GUUAACGUCUCUGGACGCAGUUUAAGAUAAUAUAAAGUUGAAUCUUCUCCUUCAACUUUUUAAACGAUUUCUUAGGGAGUGAUUUGGAAACCUUGGCCAGGAUGGGAAAACUUCCAGAGCAAAAGAACCACUUCUACAUUUAUAUGGCAAGAGUCAAAAGGUGGUGAUCAGACGAGCUUCUUGGCGAUAAAGAAAUCUUUGAGCCGCUUCAUCUGCCAGAAACCGACCGAAAGCAGGAGGAAGGUCUGCACCAUGGCCCACCACAGCACGGUUUUACCAGACGUUCUCCAGCAAAGACGGAGAAACUGGUGGAGUUGGUUUGGAAGCAGAGGAAGUGCUGACCAGACGCGUGCGCCGUGAAGAACUCACCCGUCACCAGCAUGCCCUCGGGAAUCUCCUCGAUGAUGCAUCGCUCCUCCUGCUCGCCCAGAUCGAUAUACAUGGCGGCCGCCAGCGUCAGGUAAGCCUCCAGGAAAAAGCCGGCCCAUUGCAGCCUCAUGCUGAGGCCUAUGAAUCUAAUUUGGUUGGGUGGAUCCAACAGAACAGGUCUGCAAAUGCCAAA